rnacentral:lncRNA from 1 species
AAUGUCACCACGAAUUGAUGAUCAUCACCACAGUUGCACUUCCAAAUGAUUCUCGGAGAACAACAGAGCUGCUACUUUAGCACCAUAGAUUUGAACUGAGCCAACAACCACCCAAGGCAUCGUAGGCACAGGCACACAAAAAUAAUAAAUUUUAAAAAUCCACAUAAUCCUCUACCCACAAAAAAACUUAUAGAACUAUCAGCUAUAACAGUUUCAACCGAUCAAGCCAACCAUAAGUUCCACGAGGUGACCUCACUGUCACAGGGCGACGAAAUAGUAGGAGUACAAAGGUAACUGGGGCAACCACAGAUACAAGUGGCCGAAAUAAGGACCGUCUGCAGAACACAAACAUAACCUGCAAUCUUCUCUCCCCCCAUGAAAAAACCCACACAUAGGAGACUACACGAAAACGGCAGCUGAACUCAGAAGCACUUCCUGUGGACGAUUGCUGGGCCGGACUCAUCGUACUCGUCCUUCGAUAUCCACAUCUGUUUUACCAAUCACAAGGAAGACAAUCAGAUGACAAGAACUGGUGUAAUGUUAAGACAAGCAAUAUGGCUUGAUGCCGGAUAAGUUAAAUUCAACAAAUGUGAACCCAACUGCAACAAAGCAAGCAGUACCUGUUGGAAGGUGCUGAGAGAAGCUAGGAUAGACCCUCCGAUCCAGACACUGUACUUGCGCUCAGGUGGAGCAACCACCUUGAUCUUCAUGCUGCUCGGAGCAAGGGCGGUGAUCUCCUUGCUCAUACGGUCAGCGAUGCCUGGGAACAUUGUUGAGCCUCCACUGAGCACAAUGUUGCCGUACAGGUCCUUCCUGAUAUCCACAUCACACUUCAUGAUGGAGUUGUAGGUAGUCUCAUGGAUUCCAGGAGAUUCCAUGCCAAUCAUAGAUGGCUGGAAGAGGACCUCAGGGCACCUAAACCUCUCCGCGCCGAUGGUAAUCACCUGGCCAUCAGGCAGCUCGUAGCUCUUCUCAACCGAGGAGCUGUUCUUGGCAGUCUCCAGCUCCUGCUCAUAGUCAAGGGCCACGUAUGCAAGCUUCUCCUUGAUGUCCCUCACAAUUUCCCGCUCAGCAGAGGUGGUGAAAGAGUAUCCUCUCUCAGUGAGGAUCUUCAUGAGAGAAUCCGUGAGGUCACGGCCAGCAAGAUCCAGACGAAGGAUAGCAUGAGGAAGUGCAUAUCCUUCAUAGAUGGGCACAGUGUGGCUCACACCAUCACCAGAGUCAAGAACAAUACCUGCCAAGUUAUGAACAGGGUUAGCUAGAUACUACUAGAACUGAUAAUUGGUUCACUACUGGUAAUCACAUUUUUCAUCUACCUAACUCUACUGUAUACUAACCUAUGUAUAGAAGACAAAAAUUACACAAGCAUGCAAUGACAAAUUGGAUGCAAACAAGUACUUGAUAAUCACCCAGGUUUAUAUGUUAACAUAUCAGUUGCUUCAAUGAGGUACGACGCAGCUCAACAAUAUUAUGAAUAUAAUUAAUGCAAAACUGGGAAGAGAACGACAAGCGGAAUGGAAUACUUCAUACCUGUGGUACGACCACUAGCAUAGAGUGAAAGCACAGCUUGAAUUGCAACAUACAUGGCAGGGACAUUGAAGGUCUCAAACAUGAUCUGUGUCAUCUUCUCCCUGUUAGCUUUGGGGUUCAAAGGAGCUUCAGUGAGCAACACUGGGUGCUCCUCAGGUGCAACACGGAGCUCAUUGUAGAAAGUGUGAUGCCAGAUCUUCUCCAUGUCAUCCCAGUUGCUGACAAUACCGUGCUCGAUUGGGUACUUCAACGUGAG